UUAACGCUAGCGGCAGUCCUAAUAGAUGCAAGUCGAACGGUAACAGGUGUAGCAAUACAUGCUGACGAGUGGCGCACGGAUGCGUAACGCGUAUGCAACCUACCUAUAACUGGGGAAUAGCCUUCUGAAAGGAAGAUUAACACCGCAUAACAUCACGAAACGGCAUCGUUUUGUGAUCAAAUCUCCGGAGGUUAUAGAUGGGCAUGCGUGACAUUAGCUAGUUGGUGAGGUAACGGCUCACCAAGGCUACGAUGUCUAGGGGGUCUGAGAGGAUGAUCCCCCACACUGGUACUGAGACACGGACCAGACUCCUACGGGAGGCAGCAGUAAGGAAUAUUGGACAAUGGGCGCAAGCCUGAUCCAGCCAUGCCGCGUGAAGGAUGACGGCCCUCUGGGUUGUAAACUUCUUUUAUAUGGGAAUAAACCCCUGGUUUCUACCGGGGCUGAAUGUACCGUAAGAAUAAGGAUCGGCUAACUUCGUGCCAGCAGCCGCGGUAAUACGAAGGAUCCAAGCGUUAUCCGGAUUUAUUGGGUUUAAAGGGUGCGUAGGCGGACUAUUAAGUCAGUGGUGAAGGCCUGCAGCUUAACUGCAGAACUGCCAUUGAUACUGAUGGUCUUGAGUACAUUUGAGGUGGGCGGAAUGUGUCAUGUAGUGGUGAAAUACUUAGAUAUGACACAGAACUCCGAUUGCGAAGGCAGCUCACUAAACUGUAACUGACGCUGAGGCACGAAAGCGUGGGGAUCAAACAGGAUUAGAUACCUUGGUAGUCCACGCCCUAAACGAUGAUUACUCGAUGUGUGCGAUACACUGUACGCGUCUGAGCGAAAGCAUUAAGUAAUCCACCUGGGG
rnacentral:rRNA from 1 species